UGAAAGCUACGUUACUUCAGAGGGAGCCAUUUCUCACAAUGUUUUAUACCAUCAACAACUCUCCAUUGUUAAUUACCAAGUUAUGUUCACAAUUAUAUUGAGUAGUCACCAAUAGUAUCCAGUUUGAUUUAAAAAAAAUUUUGUUUACUUUGUUUAGGCUUUUACUGUGUUUUUCUUAGUGGUUUUUAAGAUUUUAAAAAGAUUCAUUGUAGGGUUCAGGUAAUUAUUCAUAUUGGUCUAAAGAUGUUUUUUAUUCUGCUUAACCUUGUUAGUUCCUUCAGUCGGAUUUGUGAAUAAACUCCAGCAACUAAUAAUGGAACACACAGCAGUACAGCUUAACUUCUGAGUCCCUGCAAUAAAAUAAGUAUUUGACCCACUGCAUCAUUGUCAUUUAAGGCUGCUGAUUGCAGCAUUUGCCAUUAUGGGAGUAAAAUUGCAUAUGAAUUUUAUGGUAGGCAUUUUAAAAUCUGUUUAAUGGAUUGAGUGUCACCUAAUAUGUGCACUAACUGCACAAUCAUGGAGAAAUUCAUUGUAUAACACUCCCAAAAUGGCGCAACAAAGAUUUUCCUGAUCAUCAAAUAUGAGUUCUGGUGGUUAGGUCAUCGGAGUGUGUAUUCGAAUAAGAAUCCUUGAGAAGAUGACACUCUGAGAUGUGCAGGAAGAUGUGUAGGGAGGCAGCCCACCAGCAAGGCUUCCCCUGAAAUGGCUGCUGAAGAGACGAGAGUACAUAAAGUGCUAUAAAAGCUUUACUGUAGUGAAAUAUUUGCCAUCAUCCUGCAAUACACACAUGGUCAAAAGGAGACAUGACAAGACAGGCACAUAAGAAAAUGAGAUGAUGGAAAACCUCUUCAGUUGUUUGUGUUCUGCUCAGAUGUUGCCUACAGCGACAAGGGAUGCUAAGGUAUUACUGCUCAGAAUUAUUAUAACAACAAAUCUAUAUGUAAAACAUAAAUCGAACAUUGAAGGGGGGGGUGGGGGUUGGUUGUGAGCUUUGAAAAUCUCACGCAUAGGUGGCCUCUGGACUUGGCAUCUCUGCCAUUUGCAUUUUGCAAAGGGCACUUCGACAUGGGGCAAUGGAGACCGAUGGUCUCCGUAGCCUGCAUGUUAGUCCAGGCCUGAGUGCAGAUGCUAUAGGGAAGGUAUUUUGAUGGUGUUUAUAUAAAACCUUUGAUCAAAGUUCGUUGCAUCAGAACAACAAUGUCAAAUCUGCAUGUAGAUCCUGCAAAUAUUAUGAAAGUGCCCCAUGCGAAAACUGUGCAAUUUUGUCCAUACAUUCACGUUAUUUUAACCAUGUCUGAUGAUGUAUACAAAGUCAAAUCUUAUUCAAACUAGCUUAUGGUGGCCACUUUACAAACGCCCGAAACAACUCGGAGUAUCCAUUUUUGUUAUGGUCAGUUGACCAUAUAUUCUUUGAACUGGGAAAUCUAUUGUGCUGCAUGCACAGGCUAGGCAGGCACCUUUACCGUGCUAUGCUUUGAAUCCCUCAUAAAAAUAUAUGGAGGGUACUGGAAUUCAUGCUUUAAAUCUCCCUUUUUCUGGGGGAUAUUGUGUUAUUUCGGAUUCCAGACCCUUUUGUCCUUAAUUUACAAAUGAUCAAGCAGGUUGCCAUUACUGUAUUUGGCUCAAUGAGAGGUUGUCCGAAUGGUAGAUUAUUAAUAUUAGAUUAUCAUUCUUAGCCUUUGCCAAGGUUUUACGAUAAAGAGUGAACUCAUACCUAUUUUUAACACAAAACAGAAGUAAGUUCAUUAUGUUUCCAUAAUAAAGCUGAGGGGGGUGGAAAGUCUCGAUUACCUACAGAGGUGAGGUAACCAAUAAUUAUUUCUACUAGUUAUUUGUUUUUCUUUGAUUUUUGUUUUAUCUUGCAGUACUUUGAUAACAU